rnacentral:SRP_RNA from 1 species
GCCAGGCAUGGUGGCGCAUGCCUGUAAUCCCAGCUACCUGGGAGGCUGAGGCACAAGAAUCACUUGAACCCAGGAGGCAGAAGUUGCAGUGAGCCGAAAUUGUGCCACUGCACUCCAACCUGGGUGACAGAGUGAGACCUUGUCUUAA